UGGAACAGAACGUCACAGAGGGUGAGAAUCCCGUGCGAUGAGAUGUCCCAGACCUAUGUAAAGUUCCUUCGAAGAGUCGAGUUGUUUGGGAAUGCAGCUCUAAGUGGGUGGUAAAUUCCAUCUAAAGCUAAAUAUUGGCGAGAGACCGAUAGCGAACAAGUACAGUGAUGGAAAGAUGAAAAGAACUUUGAAAAGAGAGUGAAAAAGUACGUGAAAUUGUUGAAAGGGAAGGGCUUGAGAUCAGACUUGGUAUUUUGUAUGUUACUCUCUCGGGGGUGGCCUCUACAGUUUACCGGGCCAGCAUCAGUUUGAGCGGUAGGAUAAGUGCAAAGAAAUGUGGCACUGCUUCGGUAGUGUGUUAUAGUCUUUGUCGAUACUGCCAGCUUAGACUGAGGACUGCGGCUUCGGCCUAGGAUGUUGGCAUAAUGAUCUUAAGUCGCCCGUCUU
rnacentral:rRNA from 1 species